rnacentral:rRNA from 1 species
AGAACGAACGCUGGCGGCAGGCUUAACACAUGCAAGUCGAACGCGUGUAGCAAUACACGAGUGGCGCACGGGUGAGUAACGCGUGGGCAUCUGCCUCAUGGUUCGGAAUAACCCCGGGAAACUGGGGCUAAUACCGGAUGGUACCUUCGGGUUAAAGAUUUAUCGCCAUGAGAUGAGCCCGCGUCCGAUUAGCUAGUUGGUGAGGUAACGGCUCGCCAAGGCGACGAUCGGUAGCUGGUCUGAGAGGACGAUCAGCCACACUGGGACUGAGACACGGCCCAGACUCCUACGGGAGGCAGCAGUGGGAAUAUUGGACAAUGGGGGCAACCCUGAUCCAGCCAUGCCGCGUGAGUGAUGAAGGCCUUCGGGUUGUAAAGCUCUUUUAGCGGGGACGAUGAUGACGGUACCCGCAGAAUAAGCCCGGCUAACUUCGUGCCAGCACGCCGC